rnacentral:rRNA from 1 species
UACGGAGGGUGCAAGCGUUAAUCGGAAUGACUGGGCGUAAAGCGCACGCAGGCGGUCUGUUAAGCCAGAUGUGAAAGCCCCGGGCUCAACCUGGAAACUGCAUUUGGAACUGGCAGGCUAGAGUCUUGGAGAGGGGGGUAGAAUUUCCGGUGUAGCGGUGAAAUGCGUAGAGAUCGGAAGGAAUACCAGUGGCGAAGGCGGCCCCCUGGCCAAAGACUGACGCUCAGGUGCGAAAGCGUGGGGAGCAAAC